rnacentral:lncRNA from 1 species
UUCCCGGGGAGGCCCUGGCCCCCGAGGAGACCCUCCCGGUCCACCCCGGAUCAGACUCGCGGGCUCUGGCCCAAGGGAAUGGGACGACGGGACUCUUUCUGGGCUGAGUGCGGGCGGGGGUGGGGAGGGGGACGACGCUGACGAGGUGCAGGGCUGAGCCGGAAAGGGAAAUGGAGGGAGUAGUGGAGCUGGGGAGCUCACUGGGGCCUUUCACUUUCCCUCCCAGGCCAGAAACCCGGUGGGGCGUGCCGGGCCUUCCCCGGCCAUCUCGGGCGAGCUGGAGACUGCUGCCCGCCCCUUGGCGGGUCUACCCCGUGCUUGACAGAGCCCAGAGGAGCUGAGAUGAGGAAAGGGGCCCAAAGAACGGACUAGGUCACGACGGACCACUCGCCCGCCAUUCCACUGGACACGCCCCGCUCGAGUUCUCCACGGCCACGAGGCUGUUGACUUUGCAGCAUGGAUACCGACUGGCUGGCUCCCUGGGCUUCUCCAGAGACUGAGUUAAGAUCACUCCCUCAACCCCAAUGCAACAAUGCCUAUUUCUUGAGGUGAAAUAUUGUGUCGCCAGAGCCCAUCUGCUGCCUCCUCCAGAAAGCGAUGGGUUUGUUGGAGAUACGUAUUUGCAUCGUGGGGUUGACUUUGAGGUGUGAGGGUGAUGUUCAUUCAUUGCAGCGUAUUUAUUGAGCACUUACUGUGUUCAGAGCACUAUACUGAGGGCUUGGGAGAGUAGAGUAUCCUAAUAAACAGACCCAUUUCAUGCCCACAGUGAGCUUACAGUUUAGUGGGGGAGACAGACAUUGAUAUAAGUGGGGAUCAGAGGGGGGACAAAGAAAGGGAGCAAGUCAGGGUGCCAAGUAGGUGCUAGAGCUGGGGGAGCUCCUCUUACGCAGCCCAGAGGCCGGU